AUUGAACGCUGGCGGCAGGCCUAACACAUGCAAGUCGAACGGUAACAGGAAGCAGCUUGCUGCUUCGCUGACGAGUGGCGGACGGGUGAGUAAUGUCUGGGAAACUGCCUGAUGGAGGGGGAUAACUACUGGAAACGGUAGCUAAUACCGCAUAACGUCGCAAGACCAAAGAGGGGGACCUUAGGGCCUCUUGCCAUCGGAUGUGCCCAGAUGGGAUUAGCUAGUAGGUGGGGUAACGGCUCACCUAGGCGACGAUCCCUAGCUGGUCUGAGAGGAUGACCAGCCACACUGGAACUGAGACACGGUCCGGACUCCUACGGGAGGCAGCAGUGGGGAAUAUUGCACAAAGGGCGCAAGCCUGAUGCAGCCAUGCCGCGUGUAUGAAGAAGGCCUUCGGGUUGUAAAGUACUUUCAGCGGGGAGGAAGGGAGUAAAGUUAAUACCUUUGCUCAUUGACGUUACCCGCAGAAGAAGCACCGGCUAACUCCGUG
rnacentral:rRNA from 1 species